CACAUACAGAUCUGGCCAAUGUGCUAAACACUAAAUGCUAAAUCCCUAAGUUAUGGGAUUUAAGUAUUCUAAAUCUUCUUUUCUAUCUGGCAAACAGUAUAUAAGUUUUCCACCAGAAUCCUGUAGAGGCUAAAGAAAUUAUUUUUAAGUAGGCAAAGGGCACUUUAACUUCACACACAUGAAGUGGAAGGACUCUGUUUAUAGUAUAUGAUUAUGAACAACUGUUCUGAUUUAACUGUGUUAGACAUAAAGGGGUGAAAUAUGCUAAACACCAGAGAACUAGAAGGCUUUGAAAAGAGAAAAGUUAUGGUUAUAAUGAAGCAUUUUCCCUGGCCGCAUCUUACAAGGGCAUAGCAUACAGAGAAAGGCACUGCAAAACAGACUGUAAGAAACUCUGUUUCAUUAGCCACAGGAUUUGCAUAUUUCAACCAACAUUACCCUUUUUAUGUGUCUGUAUUGUAUAAAUUAAUUACUUAUAUAUAACGUUUCUGUUCAAACUAGUUUUAAUGGUCUUAAACUCUGGUCUUCAAGACUGUUUGCAGAUUUGGUGCAGAGGAGCGGCAUGGACUCAUCUGGACUGGAUGAGUGCAGAAUGGUGCAGAGAAGAAAUAUGUGGGCAACCAGCAAAGCAGCAGCAGAACAAACUUUCUAGAUCUGUUCUCUUUUUUUUUCCUUGGAGGCCAGAUAUGGCACCUAGAGAGAAGACAAAUCCAGUAGACAACUGGUACACUUUGGAUAGUGCAAUGAAUUUGAUUAAUAAUGGACAUGACGUGUAGAUAUAAUGAAGUGAUAAUCUAUCUGCAUCUGUGGAAAUGAAAUAAAUGAGCCUGAAAAAUGUGAAGACA
rnacentral:lncRNA from 1 species